GUCCCAGUUCGGAUUGUAGUCUGCAACCCGACUACAUGAAGCUGGAAUCGCUAGUAAUCGCGAAUCAGAAUGUCGCGGUGAAUACGUUCCCGGGUCUUGUACACACCGCCCGUCACACCAUGGGAGUCGGAAAUGCCCGAAGUCAGUGACCCAACCGAAAGGAGGGAGCUGCCGAAGGUGGAGCCGGUAACUGGGGUGAAGUCGUAACAAGGUAGC
rnacentral:rRNA from 1 species